rnacentral:rRNA from 1 species
AGAACGAACGCUGGCGGCAGGCUUAACACAUGCAAGUCGAACGCUCGUAGCAAUACGGGAGUGGCAGACGGGUGAGUAACGCGUGGGAACAUACCCUCCGGUUCGGAAUAGCUCAGGGAAACUUGGAUUAAUACCGGAUACGGCUGAGAGGCGAAAGAUUUAUCGCCGGAGGAUUGGCCCGCGUUCGAUUAGCUUGUUGGUGAGGUAACGGCUCACCAAGGCGAUGAUCGAUAGCUGGUCUGAGAGGAUGAUCAGCCACAUUGGGACUGAGACACGGCCCAAACUCCUACGGGAGGCAGCAGUGGGGAAUAUUGGACAAUGGGCGCAAGCCUGAUCCAGCCAUGCCGCGUGAGUGAUGACGGCCUUAGGGUUGUAAAGCCCUUUCGCUCGGGACGAUAAUGACGGUACCGAGAUAAGAAGCCCCGGCUAACUUCGUGCCAGCAGCCGC